rnacentral:misc_RNA from 1 species
AUUUUUCUCCUUUUAUUUUUUCGCUGCCUUGAUUCCGGGGAAUUUUUGUUCGUCCGGCCAGUGACAACGCGGUAGCGACGCCAAUCGCCUCUCCCGCGGGAGCAACGGUGGAAAGCACUAGGAGAUAUACGGACAACGUCCACGUAAAUAUCGGUGGACGCGCGAUAUUUACGGUAUCCAGGAAUGUGCAGUGUACGCGGUCAGUGUGGUCUGUGUUCGUGCAAUGACCAAGUUUCUAGACACGUGUGUUCGACGAACGAAACGUUCCUGGCCAUUAUCCGUGCUACGAAAGAUGCACACUGUAUAGUACAGUGUGCGACGGUAUACAUAGAUUCAGGGAAAAGGAAUCUCCAGGGAGCUCGAUGAAUCAAAGCAGUAGUCCAAAUUUAGGGUCAUAAUCUCACCCUACUCGUGUAAGUCUCUCUAGAAAGUAUCAAGUCCAACAUAUGAAAUAUCUGUUUUCUUUGGACGAAAUAGGUAUGCUUUUGCUUUUCACCGGGAUAAAUAUUGACAUACUUUUGUUAUCGAGAUAUAAUAUUUCCAAUACUACUUCUGAAAAAAUAUUAUUGUUCUAGAUUUUAUAAAAUCUUCGUGGAUUUGCCUCGUUCUUUACCUCCAGAGCUGCUGGUAUCUCUAGAAGAAAAUUACAAAAUCCAACGAAGAAUAAUAUAUUCCUUAGCAAUGUAUUAUACACUACAAUAAAACAAUUUAUGUAUUCAAGAACUAUAUUAAUAUCAUCUACGCAGAAUGACUUUUAAAAUAGAUAUGUAACUAAAAUUUUAUAGGUAUAUAUUCAUUCGAAGUAGAAUAUUCAGGAAGAAUAUGUAAUUCUCGUUGCAGAUAGAAUAUCGAAGACUUUGCAGCGCUAUAAUAUAUAAACGAUACAGGGAAUGGAAAAACAUAAAUCAACCUUUACUUCUACAUAAACCAUACUGCAGGCAAUCUACGCAAAGGAUAUGAAGCGUUCAAACGGGCAUUUCAUACGUUACAGCCUAAUAUAACCGGGGUUUGUUUUUGACCGGAAAGAAAUAGUUCCCUGUCAUAUAUCCUAACGUUCUACGCGAGCACAUAUUGCAAAAAUUAUAAAACCUUUCUAUCUCAUCGCAUGGAGCCGUAAAUUUUCGAAAUAGCCACGAUCGAAAAAGGGUUUGCAUCAACGGUUAAUCGAUAUUCUUUUAUCUACGACGUUCAUCGGACUGGUUCCUUUCGGGGCUGACAGAACGAAACCGCACCUACGCAUCACACUAUAUAUCUUCAUAGAAAAAUCCGGCCAGGAAUGCUUCGAAUCCAAGUCGAUAUU